AACGAACGCUGGCGGCAUGCCUAACACAUGCAAGUCGAACGAGGGCUUCGGCCCUAGUGGCGCACGGGUGAGUAACGCGUGGGAACCUGCCCUGUGGUACGGAACAACUCCGGGAAACUGGAGCUAAUACCGUAUGCGUCCUUUGGGACAAAGAUUUAUCGCCAUGGGAUGGGCCCGCGUAGGAUUAGCUAGUUGGCGGGGUAACGGCCCACCAAGGCUUCGAUCCUUAGCUGGUCUGAGAGGAUGAUCAGCCACACUGGGACUGAGACACGGCCCAGACUCCUACGGGAGGCAGCAGUGGGGAAUCUUGCACAAUGGGCGAAAGCCUGAUGCAGCGACGCCGCGUGAGGGAUGACGGCCUUCGGGUUGUAAACCUCUUUCGACAGGGACGAAGCGCAAGUGACGGUACCUGGAGAAGAAGCGCCGGCCAACUACGUGCCAGCAGCCGCGGUAAGACGUAGGGCGCGAGCGUUGUCCGGAUUUAUUGGGCGUAAAGAGCUCGUAGGCGGCUUGUCGCGUCGACUGUGAAAACCCGCGGCUCAACCGUGUGGCUUGCAGUUGAUACGGGCAGGCUAGAGUUCGGUAGGGGAGACUGGAAUUCCUGGUGUAGCGGUGAAAUGCGCAGAUAUCAGGAGGAACACCGGUGGCGAAGGCGGGUCUCUGGGCCGAUACUGACGCUGAGGAGCGAAAGCGUGGGGAGCGAACAGGAUUAGAUACCCUGGUAGUCCACGCUGUAAACGUUGGGCGCUAGGUGUGGGGGGCCUCUCCGGUCCUCUGUGCCGCAGCUAACGCAUUAAGCGCCCCGCCUGGGGAGUACGGCCGCAAGGCUAAAACUCAAAGGAAUUGACGGGGGCC
rnacentral:rRNA from 1 species